UACGGGGGGGGCGACCGUUAUUCGGAAUCAUUGGGCUUAAAGGGCGCGUAGGCGGCGGUGUAAGUUGGAAGUGAAAUCCCAUCGGCUCAACCGUGGAAUUGCUCCCAGUACUGCAUCGCUCGAGGGGGAUAGGGGUUUGCGGAACUACCGGUGGAGCGGUGAAAUGUGUUGAUAUCGGUGGGAACGCCAGUGGCGAAAGCGGCAAACUUGACCCUUCCUGACGCUGAGGCGCGAAAGCUAGGGGAGCAAACGGG
rnacentral:rRNA from 1 species